rnacentral:rRNA from 1 species
UACGGAGGGCGCAAGCGUUGUUCGGAAUCAUUGGGCGUAAAGCGCGUGUAGGUGGCUUGGAAAGUUGGAUGUGAAAGCCCGGGGCUCAACCCCGGAAUUGCAUUCAAAACUCCCUCGCUAGAGUCCCGGAGAGGAAGGCGGAAUUCCCGGUGUAGAGGUGAAAUUCGUAGAUAUCGGGAGGAACACCAGUGGCGAAGGCGGCCUUCUGGACGGUGACUGACACUGAGACGCGAAAGCGUGGGGAGCAAACAGGAUUAGAUACCCCAGUA